rnacentral:rRNA from 1 species
AGCAGCAGCCGCGGGAAUACGUAGGUCCCGAGCGUUGUCCGGAUUUAUUGGGCGUAAAGCGAGCGCAGGCGGUUAGAUAAGUCUGAAGUUAAAGGCUGUGGCUUAACCAUAGUACGCUUUGGAAACUGUUUAACUUGAGUGCAAGAGGGGAGAGUGGAAUUCCAUGUGUAGCGGUGAAAUGCGUAGAUAUAUGGAGGAACACCGGUGGCGAAAGCGGCUCUCUGGUCUGUCACUGACGCUGAGGCUCGAAAGCGUGGGUAGCGAACAGGAUUAGAUACCCCCGUAGUCCCUGUCUCUUAUACA